UUCCCCUGUGUGCUUUGAAGUAUUAUUCCAGGGAUAAUAAUAAAGGAAAACAGAUAUUGUCUUCCCAUUUCAGAAUGGUGGCUCUUUACUAGCACUGGUGCAGAAGUGCAGAAGCCUUUUGAAUCAAAAGGAAAUCAAAUCUGUGUCUUUGAGGUCCAGCUGCAGAGUACAGCAUUGGGUAAGAGAGAAGAAACAUGAGCCAAAUAAUACUAGGCGGGUAUCUCCUGAGAGAGCAGCGAGGAACAAACCAGUAGUCAGAGUGCUGCUCGCACAGAAUCCAAAGAAGAAAUGGCUGGUGACAUUCCAGCCCUUUGUGCAAAGACACACGCAAGAAUACCAUACCAUCCUUUCCAUCUCACAUCAUCCCAGCAGCACCAGGUGGGAGAGCUGGAAGUUACAUCCAGUGUUGGGCACCAGCUCUUCUGCAGGGUAUCCAUCCCUGAGCCCAUCAAGCAGGUUAUGGGGGAUCCAGACUGCCAGGAGCCAGUGGAUCUGG